GAGGGGCGUCGCACCGAAGGAAUUGACGAGAACGGCGACGCGCUCGCCGGGUGCUGUCUUCAUCUCCUUGAAGAUGCGGUCCAUGAU
rnacentral:sRNA from 1 species